AAAUAGCUUGAUUAUUGACUAGUUGAAGUUGGUUAGUUAACAAUUGUUAGAGUAUGAACUAGGUUAGUGUAGUUAGAAUUGUUAUGAAGCUGACAAUUGAGUUGUAAUUUGUUUGAAACUGAAUGAGCUCUCAUGUUAGUUAAAACUAGGAGCUGGAUUCUAGAAACUAGUAACUGUUAUAAAAUGGUUUGAAUGUUAGUAUUGAAUUUAAUGUUAAGUGUUAAUGAACUUGAGAAACAAAGUUUCUUGAUGUGAAAAUGAGUUAUGGAGUAAUUUGGCUAACCGGUUACCAACACAACCUCAUAAUCUUUUGGUUAUGUGAUAAGCUACUUGGAUGCAGGUGUAAUCUUGGAUGGAAAGCUAACAGGUCAUGUUAAUAGGUUGUGUUGAAUUGGUAUGGAGCACUGUUGUCUUGAUUUUUUUUUGCAUGGUUAGACAUAUUAAAUUAUGACUAAUCAUAUUAUAUUGGAUGCUAUAUUUGGUUUGAAUUGGAUUGUAUAUGGUUAUAUGGAUGAGUGAAUGCUGAUUGUCUGUAUGAAUUGAUUUGAUAUUUCUGAUGUGUAUGGUGUUUUCUCUAUUGGUGCAGGGCUGAUGUGCAUGAGAUGGAGUGAUCGAGGCUUAGAUUAACAUUAUGGCAUCACAAAGUAAUUGUGGGAUGCAUCAAGAACAUGAAAAAGUCUCGAAGAACUUGGAGGAUUUGAGGAAAAUUAAAGGCAUAAAUGGAGGAUCAAUGAUGAUGAGGACCAAAGUAGGUUUAGGUAGCUAGUUUGACCUUUGGUCAACUGUUUGACCAAAAGUCAAUACUAGGUAAAAAAUGGAUUUUUGUAUGAUUUGUACUUUGGGUUCUUUUGUUAUGAAACUUGGAAUAUUUAUAAUGAAAAAACAUGAUCUGUUUGAAUGUAAUAUAACUUGAUUUCCAAGUUAACAUCUUUCCCUCCAAAUUCCAAUUUUGAAAUAUUGAAUCUUGCACUUGAAUGCUUUAAAUAAAACUUGACCUUGAAUUUGAACAUGAAUAUUGAAUCUUGAAUGAACCACAAUAUCUUACCUUGAA
rnacentral:lncRNA from 1 species